rnacentral:rRNA from 1 species
CCUAGGGAGGCAGCAGUGAGGAAUAUUUGUCAAUGGGCGCGAGCCUGAACCAGCCAAGUAGCGUGAAGGAUGACUGCCCUACGGGUUGUCAACUUCUUUUAUAAAGGAAUAAAGUGCGGCACUUGUGCCUUUUUGUAUGUACUUUAUGAAUAAGGAUCGGCUAACUCCGUGCCAGCAGCCGCGGUAAUACGGAGGAUCCGAGCGGUAUCCGGGUUUAUUGGGUUGAAAGGGAGCGUAGAUGGGUUGUUAAGUCAGUUGUGAAAGUUUGCGGCGCAACCGUAAAAUUGCAAUUGAUACUGGCAGUCUUGAGUACAGUUGAGGUAGGCGGAAUUCGUGGUGUAGCGGUGAAAUGCUUAGAUAUCACGAAGAACCCCGAUUGCGAAGGCAGCUUACUAAACUGUGACUGACAUUGAUGCUCGAAAGUGUGGGUAUCAAACAGGAUUAGAUACCCCAGUAGUC